CUACGGGAGGCAGCAGUGGGGAAUAUUGCACAAUGGGCGCAAGCCUGAUGCAGCCAUGCCGCGUGUAUGAAGAAGGCCUUCGGGUUGUAAAGUACUUUCAGCGGGGAGGAAGGCGAUGCGGUUAAUAACCGCGUCGAUUGACGUUACCCGCAGAAGAAGCACCGGCUAACUCCGUGCCAGCAGCCGCGGUAAUA
rnacentral:rRNA from 1 species